rnacentral:rRNA from 1 species
GAUGAACGCUGGCGGCGUGCCUAAUACAUGCCAGUCGAGCGAACGGACGAGAAGCUUGCUUCUCUGAUGUUAGCGGCGGACGGGUGAGUAACACGUGGAUAACCUACCUAUAAGACUGGGAUAACUUCGGGAAACCGGAGCUAAUACCGGAUAAUAUUUUGAACUGCAUGGUUCAAAAGUGAAAGACGGUCUUGCUGUCACUUAUAGAUGGAUCCGCGCUGCAUUAGCUAGUUGGUAAGGUAACGGCUUACCAAGGCAACGAUGCAUAGCCGACCUGAGAGGGUGAUCGGCCACACUGGAACUGAGACACGGUCCAGACUCCUACGGGAGGCAGCAGUAGGGAAUCUUCCGCAAUGGGCGAAAGCCUGACGGAGCAACGCCGCGUGAGUGAUGAAGGUCUUCGGAUCGUAAAACUCUGUUAUUAGGGAAGAACAUAUGUGUAAGUAACUGUGCACAUCUUGACGGUACCUAAUCAGAAAGCCACGGCUAACUACGUG